CUACUGAGGAUGCUGCAGACACCUCAGAUGCAGAUGCAGAGAAACUACCAGACUUCCAGACACUAUAGCAUGGUGAACAAAAUGUUUCUGGUAA